CGGCAGGUCCCGGCCAGGCUGAUCCAGGAUCCGUCAGACCCCGGUCCGGUCCAGGUGAUGCUGUGACGGCUCACUUCAUGCAGCACGUCUGAACUCAUUGAGCUCUCUGUGCAGCUCAGUAUCUUCACCAUGAGUCUCCUCAGUGAGCAGCUCAGCUCUUCACCUGCAGAGACUCACCUGAGUUUAGACACUUUACGACACUUUCAGAGACUUUACGAGCCGCAGCGUGAGGACACCGACAUGCUAACACACUCAUUGGUGAACCAUGGAGCUCCGUCAGCUUCUACAGCUCCCGCCUUCAGUUAUAAAGGUUUAUUUAACGUUUAUCUAACGUUUCGGUGCCGUUAAAGGUGACGUAACAGCACGGCGGUUCUGCUUUAACGCGGGAAUAAACACAGAGUGAGUUAGCAUGAGCAGUUAGCCGCAGUCCCUCCGUACAGGUGCGUUAAUAAACUGAUUAUUACAGCCGAUCUGGCGCCAAUUCACCGCCAGUCCGCUCACACAACAUGUCUCACAUCCACCCGCGGGUGUAAACGUGAUGAAGCAGGUUAAAUAACGGCGGAUGAAGGCGGAUUGUACCCGCGGCGGGCGGACACGGAGCGGGACUCACCAUCUUGAAGCAGGUUCCGAGCGAAGAGGAAGCCGCGCCGGGUCUCGCGAGAGUUUGAGCGUGCCGCUGACCGGAAAUCCCGCCCUUUUCGUUUCCGGUGACGACGACGCGGAAGUUGACGUUUUGUAGUUUUUCUCGGACGCUAGCUUAAACUCGCCACCAUGGCGGAGCUAACUGCAGCUGCUGGUUCUGGUUCCGAGGCGAACACAGCUGGAAACCCGACAGACGUCGCCAUGGCGUAUUUACAAGACGAGAAGACUGACGGAGACCUUGCAAACCUCAACCUGGGCGAGCUGGACCUGACCACCGACGAGUUCAUCCUGGAUGAAGUGGACAGUAAGGCGACCUUCAUCAUUUCAUCAGGAUUAAAGAGGCUCACUGAGA